ACUCCUACGGGAGGCAGCAGUGGGGAAUAUUGCACAAUGGGGGAAACCCUGAUGCAGCCAUGCCGCGUGUGUGAAGAAGGCCUUCGGGUUGUAAAGCACUUUCAGUAGGGAGGAAGGUAGUGUAGUUAACACCUGCAUUAUUUGUACGUUACCUACAGAAGAAGCACCGGCUAACUCCGUGCCAGCAGCCGCGGUAAGUACGGAGGGUGCGAGCGUUAAUCGGAAUUACUGGGCGUAAAGCGCAUGCAGGCGGCCUGUUAAGUCAGAUGUGAAAGCCCGGGGUCUUAACCCCGGAAUUGCAUUUGAAACUGGCAGGCUAGAGUCUGUAGAGGGGUUAGAAUUUCAGGUGUAGCGGUGAAAUGCGUAGAGAUCUGAAGG
rnacentral:rRNA from 1 species